rnacentral:rRNA from 1 species
UACGGGGGGAGCAAGCGUUGUUCGGAUUUACUGGGCGUAAAGGGCGCGUAGGCGGCACCGCAAGUCGACUGUGAAAUCUCCGGGCUUAACUCGGAAAGGUCAGCCGAUACUGCGGGGCUAGAGUGCAGAAGGGGCAACUGGAAUUCUCGGUGUAGCGGUGAAAUGCGUAGAUAUCGAGAGGAACACCUGCGGCGAAGGCGACUACCUGGACCAGCACUGACACUGAGGCACGAAAGCGUGGGGAGCAAACAGG